AGCAGGCGCGUAAAUAGCCCGAAUCCUGACACAGGGAGGUAGUGACAAGAAAUAACAAUACAGGGCUACUUCUAGUCUUGUAAUUGGAAUGAGUACAACUUACAUCUCUUCACGAGGAUCAAUUGGAGGGCAAGUCUGGUGCCAGCAGCCGCGGUAAUUCCAGCUCCAAUAGCGUAUAUUAGAGUUGUUGCAGUUAAAAAGCUCGUAGUCGGAUUUCGGGUCGGGCCGAGCGGUCUGCCGAUGGGUAUGCACUGUUCGGCGCGGCCUUCUUUCCGGAGACCGCGGCUACUCUUAACUGAGCGGGCGUGGGAGACGGAUCGUUUACUCUGAAAAAAUCAGAGUGUUUCAAGCAGGCAGCUCGCUCUUGCAUGGAUUAGCAUGGGAUAAUGAAAUAGGACUCUGGUGCUAUUUUGUUGGUUUCGAACACCGGAGUAAUGAUUAACAGGGACAGUCAGGGGCACUCGUAUUCCGUCGAGAGAGGUGAAAUUCUCAGACCAAUGGAAGACGAACCACUGCGAAAGCAUUUGCCAGGGAUGUUUUCACUGAUCAAGAACGAAAGUUAGGGGAUCGAAGACGAUCAGAUACCGUCGUAGUCUUAACCAUAAACCAUGCCGACUAGGGAUUGGAGGGUGUUCGUUUUGACCUCUUCAGCACCUUACGGGAAACUAAAGUCUUUGGGUUCCGGGGGGAGUAUGGUCGCAAGGCUGAAACUUAAAGGAAUUGACGGAAGGGCACCACCAGGAGUGGAGCCUGCGGCUUAAUUUGACUCAACACGGGGAAACUUACCAGGUCCAGACAUUGGAAGGAUUGACAGAUUGUGAGCUCUUUCUUGAUUCGAUGGGUGGUGGUGCAUGGCCGUUCUUAGUUGGUGGAGUGAUUUGUCUGGUUAAUUCCGUUAACGAACGAGACCUUAGCCUGCUAAAUAGUUCCGGUAACUUCUUGUUGGCGGUCAACUCCUUAGAGGGACAACUUGUGAACAACAAGUGGAAGUUUGAGGCAAUAACAGGUCUGUGAUGCCCUUAGAUGUUCUGGGCCGCACGCGCGCUACACUGAAGCAUUCAACGAGUCCACCUCGACCGACAGGUCUGGGAAACCUUUUGAAAUUGCUUCGUGAUGGGGAUAGAUUAUUGCAACUAUUAAUCUUCAACGAGGAAUUCCUAGUAAGCGCAUGUCAUCAGCGUGCGUUGAGGCCGAUCCAGCACAGCUUGGGCGCGCGCGCGUUAUCAUUAUGUGUGAUC
rnacentral:rRNA from 1 species